CGAGCUGUAUACGCUCUUAAAUGUCAAAAAUAGUUAAACUUGUUGAGAAACUGUAAUAACGCACACAACGAUUGCGCUCUUGAGAUCGAAGUUAACCAGCUUUCUACUUUUUACGCGCUCAAAAACAUAACCUCGCGUCCUAGUGUAGUUUGUAAUUGCAGGUACUCUCAAAGCCACAACUUUCGAAAUUAUCCUUUAUUUGGUGGUUUUUAGUUAUAGUGAAGGAAAUAAACACACAAAUUGUUUCUAAAAUAAUUUAUUUGAUCAUUUCAAGAACAAAUUCACUUGCCAAAAUUGAGAUUGUCAAGGAUUUACACAAAAUUACGUAACUAACCUUUUUAAAUGUACAAUAGAUAUACAAGGUCUAAUUUGACCGGACUAUUGGUAGACCAAAACAAAUUCUACUCAUCUCACAGAUUGAAUGCGCUCGAUGGAAGGUUGAAUAUUUAAUAAUAUCAUGAGUAUAAAAAAAUGUCAUUCCUCUAAUUUGUGACAUUUAUUUCAAAUUCUGUGUCUUCUAGUCACUUCAUAUACUGAAAAAUGUGAUUGUGCAUAUCGGUUUUAGAAUAGGCAGUUUUUUAAGCUAAAAAUAAAAUUAAUACCCAGGGAACAACUGGAAUAUAUUUUUCACAAAAAUGUAA